AGCAUCUGCCAUAUAAGUUGGAGAACUUUCUCCAGUGUUUUCUUUUUCUUUUUUCUUUUCUUUCUUUCUUUUUUUUUUUUUUGGUACCGGAGGGAGAUUGAACUUGGGUCCUUGCACUGGCAAGGCAGGCCACCGAACUGCUGAACUAAAUCCCUGGCCCUCCAGUUUUCUUUUUAUGCCACUGGCAUCAAUCCUCAGGACCGAAAUAUUUUGCAGCUUCUUCAACAAAAGCUAGAGUAUGUUUUCCUACUCCUUGAGGCUAGAAUUGCCCCAUGACUUGCUUUAGCCAACAAGUAAGUCAGAAGCAAAAAGCCAGAAGCAACUUCUAGAGGGUGGACUUCAGAAGACCUCCAAGCUCCCUCUGUCUAGCUCUUGGGCGCUGACGAUACCAGGUCAGGAAGCCAGGCUUUGCUGCUGGAGAGCCAGGUGGAGGAGAGCCAAGGUGCCCUGGCUGACUGUUCCAGCUGACUGCCAGGUAUGUGAGUGAGGCUAUCUGUGGAAGGUCUAGGUGAGUGUGG
rnacentral:lncRNA from 1 species